rnacentral:misc_RNA from 1 species
GUUGAUUCUGUUUUGGUUUGGCGAGAUUCUGUUUUGAAACUUCUUCUUCUUCACUUUCCCAUCGUUUCCCUCAAUUCUUAACUAGCCAUCACGCCGCCGCCGUAGUCGAGUUGGUUCAGUGAGAUCAAUGGAGAGCUUUGAGAAUCUUGGAGGAAUAGAUCUUUUGCUCUGCUUGGGUUUGUUUUCCACCUUGGUUUGCUGACGAUUUGACUGUUUGUAUAGUAAUUUUGGUUGCAUUUCGUGAGAGUUUUCUAGAGUUUGUUAGAUUUCCCUUCGAGGCUUAUAGGUUUUUGUUUCAAGCUUGCAGAUUUGUUGAGAUUGAAAUGUAUUU